AAAGAAACCAACAGGGAUGCCCUAGUAACGGCGAGUGAAGCGGCAACAGCUCAAAUUUGAAAUCUGGCCCUCGGGUCCGAGUUGUAAUUUGUAGAGGAUGCUUUUGGUGAGGUGCCUUCCGAGUUCCCUGGAACGGGACGCCAUAGAGGGUGAGAGCCCCGUCUGGUUGGACACCGAGCCUCUGUAAAGCUCCUUCGACGAGUCGAGUAGUUUGGGAAUGCUGCUCUAAAUGGGAGGUAUAUGUCUUCUAAAGCUAAAUACCGGCCAGAGACCGAUAGCGCACAAGUAGAGUGAUCGAAAGAUGAAAAGCACUUUGAAAAGAGAGUUAAAAAGUACGUGAAAUUGUUGAAAGGGAAGCGCUUAUGACCAGACUUGGGCUUGGUUGAUCAUCCUGGGUUCUCCCUGGUGCACUCUUCCAGUUCAGGCCAGCAUCAGUUCGCUGCGGGGGAUAAAAGUUUUGGGAAUGUGGCUCCUCCGGGAGUGUUAUAGCCCAUUUCAUAAUACCCUGCUCCGGACUGAGGUUCGCGCAUCUGCAAGGAUGCUGGCGUAAUGGUCAUCAGCGACCCGUCUUGAAACACGGACCAAGGAGUCGUCUUCGUAUGCGAGUGUUCGGGUGUUAAACCCCUACGCGUAAUGAAAGUGAACGCAGGUGAGAGCUUCGGCGCAUCAUCGACCGAUCCUGAUGUUCUCGGAUGGAUUUGAGUAAGAGCAUACGGGGCCGGACCCGAAAGAAGGUGAACUAUGCCUGUAUAGGGUGAAGCCAGAGGAAACUCUGGUGGAGGCUCGCAGCGGUUCUGACGUGCAAAUCGAUCGUCAAAUAUGGGCAUGGGGGCGAAAGACUAAUCGAACCUUCUAGUAGCUGGUUUCCGCCGAAGUUUCCCUCAGGA
rnacentral:rRNA from 1 species